AAGAAAUAGAAGUAAGGUCUUUCUUUGAGCGAGGUGCGGAGCUCGGGCCGAUGUCACCAGUCUUAAAAACAAUUUCCGUGUCUAAUAGAUCUCAGUAAAAGGGCACUGAAUAAGAACCUGCAGCAGUGUCAGACUAUUGCCGCACUUGCAAUCGGAGGAUCGGAGUCGGAGGAUCGCCCCCACUCCAGAGAUUAGACCCGAGUUUGCGCCCAGCUGCCUGGCCAGCACGCCGCCUCCAUCUGCACGUGCUUCGAGGCCACCUGCGUCCUAUCUACAACAGGAAGCUGCCGCGGUCUGGUCGCC